rnacentral:rRNA from 1 species
GGAUUAGAUACCCUGGUAGUCCACGCCGUAAACGAUGUCUACUUGGAGGUUGUGGCCUUGAGCCGUGGCUUUCGGAGCUAACGCGUUAAGUAGACCGCCUGGGGAGUACGGUCGCAAGAUUAAAACUCAAAUGAAUUGACGGGGGCCCGCACAAGCGGUGGAGCAUGUGGUUUAAUUCGAUGCAACGCGAAGAACCUUACCUACUCUUGACAUCCAGAGAACUUUCCAGAGAUGGAUUGGUGCCUUCGGGAACUCUGAGACAGGUGCUGCAUGGCUGUCGUCAGCUCGUGCC